rnacentral:lncRNA from 1 species
GGAAAUAACAUAAAGUGUGGUCUGAAAUAGAAUGUCUAUUUCCAACUGGUUCUCUUUAUUGAGAUCAAUCAUAAACCUUAAGAGUACAUAAAACUUUAACACUGAAUAUCUGCAGAUAUAUCUUUAAAACUGAAUUACUGAAUGUAAUGGACGAUACAUAAUUGUAUAAUGCAAACUCCCACUAAAAUUCAUAAUCCUUAACUGAUUUGACACCCAUACAAGCAAUAUGCUCAUGAAAUACUUUUGGUGUCAAUCCCUUAGUAGGCGG